CCUACGGGAGGCAGCAGUGGGGGAUAUUGCACAAUGGGGGAAACCCUGAUGCAGCGACGCCGCGUGGGUGAAGAAGCGCCUCGGCGCGUAAAGCCCUGUCAGCAGGGAAGAAAAUGACGGUACCUGAAGAAGAAGCCCCGGUUAACUACGUGCCAGCAGCCGCUGUAAUACGUAGGGGGCAAGCGUUAUCCGGAUUUACUGGGUGUAAAGGGGGCGCAGACGGCGAUGCAAGCCAGGUGUGAAAGCCCGGGGCCCAACCCCGGGACUGCUCUUGGAACUGCGUGGCUAGAGUGCAGGAGGGGCAGGCGGAAUGCGUGGUGUAGCGGUGAAAUGCGUAGAUAUCAGGAGGAACACCGGUGGCGAAGGCGGCCUGCUGGCCUGCAACUGACGUUGAGGCACGAAAGCGUGGGGAGCAAACAGGAUUAGAUACCCGAGUAGUC
rnacentral:rRNA from 1 species